rnacentral:rRNA from 1 species
CAGCAGCCGCGGGAAUACGUAGGUGGCAAGCGUUGUCCGGAAUUAUUGGGCGUAAAGCGCGCGCAGGGGGAUAGGUCAGUCUGUCUUAAAAGUUCGGGGCUUAACCCCGUGAUGGGAUGGAAACUGCCAAUCUAGAGUAUCGGAGAGGAAAGUGGAAUUCCUAGUGUAGCGGUGAAAUGCGUAGAUAUUAGGAAGAACACCAGUGGCGAAGGCGACUUUCUGGACGAAAACUGACGCUGAGGCGCGAAAGCCAGGGGAGCGAACGGGAUUAGAUACCCCCGUAGUCCCUGUCUCUUAUACA